rnacentral:rRNA from 1 species
AUGGGACGUCAGUGGUCCACCAGCAAGCUCGUUCUGAGCCUGGACACAGUACAUUGGAAUCCUGAAGCACCACCACGAACACUAUCGCGCGUGUGCCUGCGGUGCGGUAAGACACCACCCUGUAGUGCCAGCAUCCAACUCCGGCGUGUCAGCUUACUUAUCCUCAUCAAGCCACAACCUUGA